rnacentral:rRNA from 1 species
GAUGAACGCUGGCGGCGUGCCUAAUACAUGCAAGUCGAGCGAACGGACGAGAAGCUUGCUUUUCUGAUGUUAGCGGCGGACGGGUGAGUAACACCUGGAUAACCUACCUAUAAGACUGGGAUAACUUCGGGAAACCGGAGCUAAUACCGGAUAAUAUUUUGAACCGCAUGGUUCAAAAGUGAAAGACGGUCUUGCUGUCACUUAUAGAUGGAUCCGCGCUGCAUUAGCUAGUUGGUAAGGUAACGGCUUACCAAGGCAACGAUGCAUAGCCGACCUGAGAGGGUGAUCGGCCACACUGGAACUGAGACACGGUCCAGACUCCUACGGGAGGCAGCAGUAGGGAAUCUUCCGCAAUGGGCGAAAGCCUGACGGAGCAACGCCGCGUGAGUGAUGAAGGUCUUCGGAUCGUAAAACUCUGUUAUUAGGGAAGAACAUAUGUGUAAGUAACUGUGCACAUCUUGACGGUACCUAAUCAGAAAGCCACGGCUAACUACGUG